rnacentral:tRNA from 1 species
UUUCGGGUGACAGAAUAAUGUAAAGGUUUUAAGCGCCUUUUAUGGGUGUAAGCCCCCUGAAAA